rnacentral:rRNA from 1 species
AGCGAACGCUGGCGGCGUGCUUAACACAUGCAAGUCGCGCGGGGAAAGAGACUUUCGGGUCUUGAGUAGAGCGGCGGACGGGUGCGUAAGACGCGGGUGACCUAUCCGAGAGGCGGGGAUAACCCAGCGAAAGCGGGGCUAAUACCGGAUGAGCCCCCAGGCGGAAACGCGCGGGGGCGAAAGAUGCUACUCGAUAGUGGCAUGUCCUCACGGAGGGGCCCACGGCCUAUCAGCUAGNGGUGUGGUAACGGCGCACCAAGGCGAAGACGGUAGCUGGUCUGAGAGGAUGGCCAGCCACACGGGGAC